rnacentral:rRNA from 1 species
GCUCAGGAUGAACGCUAGCUACAGGCUUAACACAUGCAAGUCGAGGGCAGCACUAGGUAGCAAUACUGAGGUGGCGACCGGCGCACGGGUGCGUAACGCGUAUCCAACUUUCCCGUUACUCUCGGAUAGCCUUCCGAAAGGGAGAUUAAUACGAGAUGGUGUUCAGUUUCCGCAUGUUUACUGAACUAAAGAUUCAUCGGUAACGGAUAGGGAUGCGUGACAUUAGAUAGUUGGCGGGGUAACGGCCCACCAAGUCUACGAUGUCUAGGGGUUCUGAGAGGAAGGUCCCCCACACUGGAACUGAGACACGGUCCAGACUCCUACGGGAGGCAGCAGUGAGGAAUAUUGGUCAAUGGGCGCAGGCCUGAACCAGCCAAGUAGCGUGAAGGAUGAAGGUUCUAUGGAUUGUAAACUUCUUUUAUACGGGAAUAACAUCACCUACGUGUAGGUGCCUGCAUGUACCGUAUGAAUAAGCAUCGGCUAACUCCGUG